ACGCUAUUGACGACAAGGUAGACUCUCUACAAGUUCAAAGUUUAGAUCGUGUGGCACCAUCCCAACGCCAGCAUCGUUUGUUUUUCCAGGGGCCCUGACGACACACACCACUGGAAGGUCCUCUUCCAAAAGAGUAUCAUGAGCUUUUACGGAAAGCGCUCGCUUGUUUCCAUGGUAACCAGGACUGGCGACAGCGCUCCCUCCCCGACAGCUCAAGCCCCAGGAGCCAUGGGUGAAGGGAACCAGUGGCUGCUGCCAGGUAGGGCUCCCCUCCCUGCUGACUGAGCACUGACUUAGCGUGCUGAGAGAAAACGCUCUUGACUUCCACAGGAACUUCUGCUACAGUUCACACGGAUAUGCCCUCUGACCCUACAUUGCCGCAGAAGACGAGAGAAUGAAUCAGCGUUUGCCUUAAACGAAACAACGCCACUCUGGCAAUCUUUUGAAAGUGAAGUCCCUGUUUUCAGAGAAACAGACUCACACAGCUUGUCAAACCUUUUUAGGGGCUGAGGGUGACACCAAAGUCCUUUUGUCAUUGGUCUUAGGGAGACCUUCCUGUAUCUGACUGCAGGCUGGGGUCAGGCCUCUCCUCAGGCUGAACCCCCCCGACCUCCUGGGCCCCUCCUCUGGCCCACAGCUCUGCCUCCCCUGAGUCACGUGUGCUGCUCUUUGAAGCAGCUAGGUAGCGGGAGGCAGCCUCAACGUCCCCAGGAGUGCUAGGCACCGCGUCUCCGGACGAGGGACUAACGUGUGCCCCAGAAGCAAGACCCUUCGUUGACACUAAUGAAGUCAGCCAGCUCUGUAGUAUAAAAGGCAGACCUCCAUUUUAGCUGGCUUUCUGGGAAAUUUGUCUUUGCCCUUGGUUUGGCUUUUAGACACUACCUUUUCCUCACAAGGACACAAGGCCCAAGGAAAUAAUGCCAUCACACACCUUGCACACGUAAGAAGGAGUUAAAAACCAGCACUUAACAAGCCAGCACCCUCAGACUACUCAGGACUCCCAGACCCUGCAGGCAGGCGCCAAGGCGAAGGAGGUGGAGCCGGGAAUAAGAAAGCUGAAAAAUCAUUCUGGAGGAUUCAGUGCGUAUCGCCCAUUCCAACUCCACUGGCCAGAAAGCAGUAAAGAACCUCAAAAUGUCUGUAGUUGUUCAAA